GAUGAAGAACGCAGCGAAAUGCGAUAACUAAUGUGAAUUGCAGAAUUCAGUGAAUCAUCGAGUCUUUGAACGCACAUUGCGCCCUCUGGUAUUCCGGAGGGCAUGCCUGUCCGAGCGUCAUUGCUGCCCUCCAGCCCGGCUGGUGUGUUGGGCCCCGUCCCCCUUCCCGGGGGGACGGGCCCGAAAGGCAGCGGCGGCACCGCGUCCGGUCCUCGAGCGUAUGGGGCUUUGUCACCCGCUCUUGUAGGCCCGGCCGGCGCCAGCCGACCCCCUCAAUCUAUUUUUCAGGUUGACCUCGGAUCAGGUAGGGAUACCCGCUGAACUUAAGCAUAUCAAUAACGGAGGA
rnacentral:misc_RNA from 1 species